AGAGUUUGAUCCUGGCUCAGAUUGAACGCUGGCGGCAUGCCUUACACAUGCAAGUCGAACGGUAACGCGGGGCAACCUGGCGACGAGUGGCGAACGGGUGAGUAAUACAUCGGAACGUACCCAGUAGUGGGGGAUAGCCCGGCGAAAGCCGGAUUAAUACCGCAUACGACCUACGGGUGAAAGGGGGGGAUCGCAAGACCUCUCGCUAUUGGAGCGGCCGAUGUCAGAUUAGGUAGUUGGUGGGGUAAAAGCCUACCAAGCCGACGAUCUGUAGCUGGUCUGAGAGGACGACCAGCCACACUGGGACUGAGACACGGCCCAGACUCCUACGGGAGGCAGCAGUGGGGAAUUUUGGACAAUGGGCGCAAGCCUGAUCCGGCCAUGCCGCGUGCGGGAAGAAGGCCUUCGGGUUGUAAACCGCUUUUGUCAGGGAAGAAACGGUCUGGAUUAAUACCUCGGGCUAAUGACGGUACC
rnacentral:rRNA from 1 species